rnacentral:tRNA from 1 species
GCUUCCGUAGCUCAGGGGAUAGAGCACUCGCCUCCUAAGCGAGGGGUCGCGCGUUCGAAUCGCGCCGGGAGUACCA